UUCAUAUUAGAAACAUUCUUAUUAGAUUUUAUCAGGGAAAAUGAGUGCUCAUGAUGUGAAUGUUUCACAUUACAGAAAAGAAUUUUCACGUUCUCCUGCCGCUGCAGCUUCUAUCACUGUUCCUGUUCCAGUGAGCUACUCUUUCAUUUCCUAUUUCCUUGAAUCAGCACCAGCAACCAGAAUGGAGUUUUCAGGAAGACAUAAGAGCUGCAGAGGAAGACAGAACACACCCUACUGUGUGACUUGGCAGGACAGGAAGGGGAGUUCUUACCUGGUCUCUGCUGAAAGUAACCAUACACUGAACUGAAGUGGACCACUGCCCAUCAUGCUCCUGCCCCAGCUCCACUUUCCAGCCACUCACUGUGAAAAGGACACUCCAAGGAUCAUCUUCCCACCAGGUCCAGGGGUCUUUUCUUCCCAGGUGUUCCAGGAAGUACCUCAAUAUCCAGGUACUUUUCAUGUUGAGCUGUUCUUGUCUGAUUCUUGUCUGUUUCACGCACUGGACUGUUAGCUCUUUAUCAGGAACUGUAUCUAAUUUGCCUUUGUAGUCCCUCUGUUCAGCAGAGGGCCUGACACAUGCACACAUAUAAAUGUCUUUUGAAUGAAUAAAUGAAUAAAUUAGAUUUUAAA